rnacentral:rRNA from 1 species
AGGCUAAAACUCAAAUGAAUUGACGGGGACCCGCACAAGCGGUGGAGCAUGUGGUUUAAUUCGAUGCAACGCGAAAACCCUUACCUACUCUUGACAUACUUGGGAGCUCUUGUAAUGAGAGUGUGCCUUAUGGAACCAAGAUACAGGUGCUGCAUGGCUGUCGUCAGCUCGUGUCGUGAGAUGUUCCGUUAAGUCGGAUAACGAGCGCAACCCUUACCCUUAUUUGCCAGCGAUUCGGUCGGGAACUAUAAGGGGACUGCCGGUGAUAAACCGGAGGAAGGUGAGGACGACGUCAAGUCAUCAUGGCCCUUACGAGUAGGGCUACACACGUGCUACAAUGGGGAAUACAGACGGACGCUAAGCCGCGAGGUGGUGCUAAUCCUAGAAAGUUUCUCGUAGUCCGGAUUGGAGUCUGCAACUCGACUCCAUGAAGUCGGAAUCGCUAGUAGUCGCGGAUCAGCAUGCCGCGGUGAAUACGUUCUCGGGUCUUGUACACACCGCCCGUCACACCAUGGAAGUGGAUUGCACCAGAAGUAGAUAGUCUAACCGCAAGGAGGGCGAUUACCACGGUAGGGUUCAUGACUGGGGUGAAGUCGUAACAAGGUAAC